UCUGAACUCGGCUGCGCAGGCUAACAUUAUCCAGUGCCCAAUGCUAGUCUCAGAAUUGCCCAAGUUGAUGAAAUCGAACAGAAACUCACAUAUAGAGGUUGUCUGCGGAGGCUGUGUGCUUGGUAUGUCUCAGACUUGCACGGAUAAGGGGAACAUGUGCCUGGUUAGCACAGGAGGGCUUGUGCGUGGCUGGAGUUGUGGCCAUGUGUCUUGUUAGCCCUGUGGGCUCUAUGGAUGCGGUGUGGAUAUGUGCAGACGCUGUUUGUACCACACUGUUGUGUGUUUGUACCUCCUAGGUUGAGACCCCCUACAUCCAGCCCAAUACACAUCAGCAGAAGCCAAUCACUAUCCCAGAUCAUCCUCCAAUAUUAUCUUGCAAUGCUGGUCUUGGCUCUCAGCAUCUCACCAUCGAGUGGAAUAUGCAUUCUGACAAAGCAGAAGAGUUAAGGAAAAUAAUUCCUAGUUGAGGAUCCUCUCUCUCUCCCUGCUUCCACCCCAUCCAAGUAAAGCCAUGAUGCUAUGAGGAUGGGAAGUGAAGGAGCCAGCUGAGGGUAGCUGGAAAUGGAAGGGGUUGGUUGUUUGGGGAGGGGGGCUAAGGGUCACUCUCUUCUUCCUGCCACCACCCAACUUCAAGUAAAUUAUUUACAAAUGUUUAAUCAUUCAUGCUGUUAUUAAUAGCCAAUACAUAAAUCAAAGUGAGUGAAGGAGUGGGUCUGUUAAUGAAAAAUGCCAUUGGGUAUUUGGAGAUUCCUAUGUUUUAGGUUGGGUCUCUUCACGUGUGAACUCAAGGCUGUGCAGAUCUUCUUCCCUAGUGCCACUUCAUGGUCACAAUUAUUUCAUCUGCUGAGAGAGAUGGAGGAGACUGGCAAAUGGAGGCUCUCCUCUAUUUCCCAAGAACUCUUAGCUGACCUGGCACCUUAAGAUGAUUUACACAACCUUUCUGAGCCUUAAAAUUACGUCCUAUGAAGAAGUAGGGAAUGAUACUUCAAAUCUGCGGGACUUUCCAAGAGUCCAGUACUGCCUUGAUUGAAGUUCACCAUGAUCAGUGAUGAGCUGUUUCCCUGUUCCCAGGAGCUGACUGUGCUAGGCGAGGCAGGCAUCUCGCUUUGGCUCAAGCCCACGUGACAACACUGGAUGCAUUUAUCCUUACAUGCAGUUGCUUCUCCUUAGAAGACCGGCAAAGCCCCCUGCAAGAAGUCAGUAUCUGGACUAAAUGUUGAAGGAGAUGACAGAUCUCACAAGCCAGUGCUGGACCAAAAAUCCUAGAAGUGUCCACAAAUACUGACCGGAAGCCAAGAGAACAUGGUAGAAUCCUGGAGAGAGGGAAGAGUGGGACAUGUAGCAGGGGGAGGGAAUGAUGGGGAAGACCAAGUCAUUUGGGAUCUGAUAACUCAUGUUCUGGGCUUUCUCCUUGAGACUUGGGCAUCUGAGCCAGGAUCUGAAGACAAAUCUAGUUGGCUUGUUGUUGUUUGAGUGUGAAAGUCCUUGAACUGAGGUGGGGAUUUUAGCUUCAGUCAGAAGGAAAUGGCAAUCCCUGAGAGUGCUGGAGCGGAGACAUGACACACUCUGAUGCUGUGCACAGAUGGUCGGGGCUGAGGGCAGAGCAAACCUUGUGAGGCAGUUUUGGACAACUGAAUGGCAGAUUGCAGAAUCAUGAACUUCAAGAAUGGGCUUUGUGAAGACAGAAUAUGCAACUCUGGAGCUUCCUUCAUAUUGGUUUGCACUGGGAGUCUCUGCUUCUCCUUGCCCCUUCUCUUACCCUCUGUUCCAUUCUGUUGGCCUCCCUUAGAAGUCUGUCAACUGCACUUACCCCGAAGGAGACUCACUCAGAGGCAAGAUUGACUUUAGGCAUGAGUGUGCAGAUGAAUUUACUAAGAUCCUUAUUUAUUUAUAAGUUGUUAUUUAAUGCCUUCUUUGAAUGUCCAAAAGAAUGUGAGACAUGUAGUGGGAAUACAUGUAAACGUGUCUUCCCACUCACUGAAUCUGUAGCUUCAGACUUGAGAUGAAGGCUUUGGAAUACAUGACCUGGAUUUAAACCUGAUCCUUCCUCCUACAGGCUGCAUGAUAUCAGCCAGUUAUUUGUCUGGUCUGAGCCAGUUUUGUGGUAUGGGUUAAUUAAUUUAAUCUAUCUAUAUAUUUGAAACAGGGUGUCAUGUAUCCCAGGCUGGCCUUGAACUCUCUAUGUAACUGAGGAUGUCUUUGAACUUCUGAUCCUCCUGCUUCCACUUAAGUGCUGGGAUUAACUCAUGUGUACCACUAUGCCCCUGUCUGUGGUGCUGGAAUUGAACCCAGGGCUUCGUGACACUCAACUGACUGAAUCAUAUUCCCAGCCUCUAUUGUAUGUAUUAAAUUAGAUCUUACCUGCUGUGUGUAGGGGACAUCGAAACACCCAGAUAGACAGCCAAUGUCCUUACGACUCUUCUGCUCACUGAUACCAGUGCUUCUUCAGGCAUCAGUGAUUGCGAUGGUUUCUUCAUGCAGCAAUCCCACCUGCCCUAGCCCCCACCAGCUCAUACUGUGUGUAGCCACUCACUUCACAGACAUGAUCAAAACAUCCGCUUGUUUCCCCGGGGCUUGCCCUUCUUCUGCUUCCAAACCUUAUUCCCCAUCAAAUCUUGACUAUUACUAUUAAACUGGCACAGUGCAGUUCUGAUAGGUCAUGUAAGUGCCCAUGUUUCUAUUUGGGACAAAGUCACUAGACUUACAUGUGUAAAGACUCUGAAGGUAGCAUGUCCUCCGAGAAUACCUCUACCUAGAAUACUUCUACCUAGAAGAUCUAGAACAAUAAGGCAGAGGAUGCUGAGGGCCAGAUACAAUGGAGCAGUGGCCUAUUCAGAGGCAAGGGUGGUAGAAGGUGGGAAUGGACUCACUGGACUCCUCAACCAAAGGCUGCAAGGCUCCUUAGCCUAUCCCUGUCACUGUAAAAAUCAAUCACAGAUGAGGCAGUACUUAGAAUGAAGUCCCUUAGGAACUUGGAAGUACCAUGUUGUAUUUGUCUCAGAGCUUAGGGCUGGACAGGCAGGCAGGGAACUUGCCCAAGGACCCACUUUUAGAAGUGAGUCAGUAAUGUUUUGGUAAAAUGGAAGUUGAGCCUUGAUUCUGUUCUUUCUUGCUUAACUGGAUUCUUUAUUAUUAUUAUUUAAUGGAUGUGUGUGAAUGUGUGAACAUGCAUGUGUAGGCCAGAGAACAAUCUCAAGUGUUAUUCUUCUUUAAUGGUGCCCCUCUAUUUUUUGAGACAGGGUCUUUCCUUGGUCUGGAGCUCACUAAUUAGAUAGACUGUCUGCCCAUCAAGCUCCAGGGCUCCUCUUGUAUCACCUCUCUAGCACGGGUAUUACAAGCAUACCACCAUGCCUGGGUAUAUUUCUGUGGGUACUGGGGAUCAAACUCAUGUUAUUGUACUUGGAAGACAAGCAUUUUAUCAGUUGAGCUAUAUUCCAGUUCUAAAUGGAAUGCUUAAAAUCAGAGUAUAUACUUUAGAAACUUGGCUACUUUUUUCUGGUUUGAUUGAUUGAUUGAGUAAUUAAUUGAGUGUCCUGGCCUGCAGACAGACAUAAUUUAAAUUAGCUAGCAACAUUUAAAAAGGGAGAGACUUCAGAAGGCUUAGAAGACUGGGCCAGGGAUGAGCAGAGGCCACAUGCACUCAUUGCCCUCUCACUGUGACUGCCGGCCUGGUCCAACACACCUUUAAGUCUGCAGACCUGAGGCAGUCAGCUGCGCCAUACAUCUCAGUGGGUUCUUACACUGAAAACCUAGCCAUGUGGCAUAGCCUUCAAACUACCAACUUGCCAGUCAUAGCCAGUGUUUGGAUACUAAAAGGGUAAUCUCCCACUAGUUUUUUAAAAAACUUAUUUUAUUUCUGAGAGAGUGACAGAGAGAGUGAGAAAGAGGGAGGGAGAGAGAGAGACAGAAAGAGAGAGAGAGAGAGAGCAAGCAUGCCAGGGCUUUUCAGCCACUGUGAACAAACUCCCGUUGCCUGUACCCCCCCAGCGCAUGUGCAACAUUGCACGCUCGCGUCACUUUUGCGACUGACUAUAAGUGGGACCUGGAGAUUCAAACAAGUGUACAAACAAGCUUUGCAGGCAAGCAUCUUAACUGCUAAGCCAUCUGUCCAGCCCUCCUCCACAAGUUUUGAGCUCUCACCAUUUCUCCAGUAUAUUUCCAAGUAUAUCUGUGCUAUAGCAGCCAGUGAACUUGGGUAGGGCAGAGGGCCAGGCUAUAUGCUUUGAUAGUGUCAGGGAGACAUUCAACACUAAACAGGGAAAACCAUUGACUUUCAAAAGUGGUUAGGUGGUAAAGUUGAUAGUACUAGGUGUUAUACAAGCCAGUCCUGGAUUAGAGCUCAUGGGAAGAGAUGAUAGUAGGACAGUCCAUAUAUGAAGGGCUGGGGAGAUGGCUCAGUGCGUAAAGUAUGUGCUGGGCAAGCCCAACGACCUGAGUUUGGAUCUCCAGCACCCAUACACAUGCCAGGCAGGCAGGGAAGCCACCUGUACUCUCAGUGCCCAGUAGGUAGAAAGAGUGCCCUGGGGCAAUCUCUGGGUUCAAGUGAGAGCAAUUAAUUCAUGUCAACCCUGGCCUCCACAUACAUAUACACAUGCACACCUGCACAUGUGUGCCCACAAGAUGCACACAUGUACACACACACACACACACACAAACACAUAAGCACACAAAAAAGGAAUGGUCUGUAUUUGAAACACUGUUUGGCUGUUCAGAUGCAAAUUCCUCAGAAAUUUUGCCCCAUUGGGAAAAAAAUUGUUUUGAAAAUUUUCCCUACAAAAGCCAUCAGUAUCUUGGGAGAAAUGGAAAUAAAUAUAAUAAAUAUACAUUAUCAUUUUUAACAUAUGUUUUUCAAUAAUAUUGUUACUGAAACAUUUAUGAAUGUAAACACUUAUUAAUUAUAAAUUGUUGAUAAUGUAUGCAUGGAGAUAUGAAAGCAUAGAACAAAGUCUUAUGCUUCCAGAGAAAAUGAAGAAAUCUUUAUUUAAAGAGCCCUAUCUUUUCAGCACAUUCGUCUAUUUUAGAUACCCGAAGAAUGAGACCAGGAGACCUCCUAAGGCCCACGCUCAGAAGCGCCAUGGGAAUGCAUCGCCUGCUUUCCAUCUAGUCAGUCGGUUAAGCAAUUCUGCCGUGCUCCAUCUGUGUAUUGGUUAUGCUGGCUCUAGCUGGUCUCUAACUAGCAUCGUACUAAGAAUUGCAUUUUUCUCUCUUCUGACUUAGAUUUAAAUCUUGUAAUCACUACUGGGAAGUGAGCUGUAUCAUCUUGAGAAAUCAGACCACAGAGAUGGGCCUGCAGCUGGCAGGCUGGGUCAUCCUGAAUCGCUUAACCCUUCAUAUCAAAGGAUGGCUGGCAGCAGCAGGUUCCUUCUCUAGAAUUCGCCAAGGCAUAUGUUCUCAAUGAGAAUCUGGGAGUUAAAAUGAAACACAGUGCAUCCGGCAAAAACCUUACUUUGUAAAUUGACUUGGUGCCUGUACACAUGACUGAUUUUAUGUCCAUCUCCAUGUAACUAUUUCCCUGUGGGCAUGUGUUCAUGUUCGGGUGUGUAUGUGUGUGGUAUGUGUACUCAUGUGCUCUGGUGUGACAAUAUGCAAUGCCCCUUCAAGUACAUGUGUACAUGUGAGAGUGGGGAUGUUGUGUGCCUAGGGAAAAUUCUUUGCUGGGUCAUCAAAUAAGAUUGAGGCUUGUCAGUGUGUCAUAGUUAAUUAUUUAAAAAUAAAAAGGCUGAAAUGAUUGCUUUCCUUAUAUUUAUACCUGGGUACUAAUGCCCUCCUAACCCUAAACCUGUAUGGACCAUAGGCUUUUCCUUACUCAGUGACAUAUUACCAAAUGGGACUCAGAAACCUGAUAACCUGGGAACCCUCACCUACCACAAAGUCAUUAUGUGUGACCUGGGCACAUGUUAGUGUGGCCCAAUCAUCUGUUACCCCAGCUGCAGGCCACCAACUGCUAGCCAUGUGAAUGAGGCUAGACUAGACUUAAUGGCCUCUCACCCACCUGAGAGCCCAUAAGUUAUAUGUGUGCGACCAGAGGGAGCCCAGCAAAAGUACUCCCUGUCAAGCCACCUGAUCAGGUUUCCAACACAUAGCCAUGGCUAGUACUA